GACGAACGCUGGCGGCGUGCUUAACACAUGCAAGUCGAACGGAAAGGUCCUGCUUUUGUGGGGUGCUCGAGUGGCGAACGGGGGAGUAACACGUGAGUAACCUGCCCUUGACUUUGGGAUAACUUCAGGAAACUGGGGCUAAUACCGGAUAGGAGCUCCUGCUGCAUGGUGGGGGUUGGAAAGUUUCGGCGGUUGGGGAUGGACUCGCGGCUUAUCAGCUUGUUGGUGGGGUAGUGGCUUACCAAGGCUUUGACGGGUAGCCGGCCUGAGAGGGUGACCGGCCACAGUGGGACUGAGAGACGGCCCAGGCGACUAUGGGAGGCAGGAGUGGAGAAUAUUGCACAAUGGGCGGAAGCGUGAUGAAGCAACGCCGCGUGCGAGAUGACGGUGUUGGGGUUGUAAACCGCUUUCGCCUGUGACGAAGCGUGAGUGACGGUAAAGAGUAAAGAAGCACCGGCUAUCUAUG
rnacentral:rRNA from 1 species